CAACAAAGAAACAGCCCUGCUGUUCCAACACGAGUGAGACGGAGAAAGAAAAGAAACAACAAUAGCCCUGAGACAGGCACUUCUGAUGGUUGCCAGUCACCAUGCCAUUCAGCAGCAGGUGGUCCCAAGGAGGGCCCUGCGCCAUGUGCCACCACGAAAGAUCCAGAGAGUGGACACCAACUACAAAUAGCCCUGGACUCGAGCUCCAUCACAACCAGUGAACUGAGUAACAC